rnacentral:rRNA from 13 species
AACCAGGAGGUUGGCUUAGAAGCAGCCAUCCUUUAAAGAAAGCGUAACAGCUCACUGGUCUAAAUAAGGGUUCCUGCGGCGAAGAUGUAACGGGGCUAAAGAUAUGCACCGAAGCUUAGGGUUCAUAGUUUACUAUGAGCGGUAGCGGAGCGUUCCGUAAGUGGUUGAAGCCGAAGGGUAACCGACGGUGGACAUAUCGGAAGUGCGAAUGCUGACAUGAGUAGCGAUAAAGAGGGUGAGAUACCCUCUCGCCGAAAGACCAAGGGUUCCUGCUCAACGCUAAUCGGAGCAGGGUUAGCCGGCCCCUAAGACGAGCCCGAAGGGGGUAGUCGAUGGGAACCACGUAAAUAUUCGUGGGCCUGGUGGUGUGUGACGGAUGGCGGAAGUAGUGUGUCCUUAUUGGAUUGGGCAUGCUGCCAAGUUGUUCCUGGAAAUAGCCCCACCGUAUAGACCGUACCCGAAACCGACACAGGUGGUCAGGUAGAGUAUACCAAGGCGUUUGAGAGAAGUAUCCUGAAGGAACUCGGCAAAUUGCCUCCGUACCUUCGGAAGAAGGAGGCCCCGUUAGAAGGCAACUUUUAGCGGGGGGCACAGGCCAGGGGGUAGCGACUGUUUAGCAAAAACACAGGACUCUGCUAAGUCGGCUUCAAGACGACGUAUAGG